UACGGAGGGUGCGAGCGUUGUCCGGAAUCACUGGGCGUAAAGGGCGCGUAGGCGGCGCGGAAAGUCAACGGUGAAAGCUUGGGGCUCAACCCCGAGUCGGCCGUCGAUACUUCCGUGCUCGAGCACUGUAGAGGCAGGUGGAAUUCCGGGUGUAGCGGUGGAAUGCGUAGAGAUCCGGAAGAACACCGGUGGCGAAGGCGGCCUGCUGGGCAGUAGCUAACGCUGAUGCGCGAAAGCUAGGGGAGCAAACGGG
rnacentral:rRNA from 1 species